GUCUGUUGCUUCAUGACCUGAGGUUUUCAGCCAUUUCUCCUCAAAGUGCUACAUGUCUGUCCUUCUGUCUUUGUGAAUGAAGUACAAAGAGAACACAGAAAAACAGAGUCACCAUCCCCAAGGGAUAAACAUCAGCAGGAUGCAAAGGUUUCUGACCUUUGACCACAUGACUUUUUAGGAUAAAAUCGCUUCAAACUGACAGAUCGCAGUGAAGGAGGUGAGCAAUUUUCUGUCCGCAAAAAUUCUACAGCUCGCGAUAGACAGAGCGGAACACGCUUCUCCAUUUGCUUGGUUACCUGGGUGACGAUUCCUGCCCCAUCUGAUUGGUUGCCUGUGAAGCGGCUACAGUGACGACACCAGCGCCUUUCUGAAAAGUUCAGAGAUUUUCAACUGGAAGAGCCCGGAGCAGAUCACAGCACUGAACCAUUAAAUAUAAGUCAGCACUACAUGGAAGAGGGCAAUAGAUCCAGCCCCACAGUAUAUGGCAACCUGACGGGUGUGUGUGUGUGUGAGAGAGAGGGAGGAUGAAUUGAAAAACUGGACAUGUAAUUGAAAUAAAUGGUUGCUCUUGA